GACGAACGCUGGCGGCGUGCCUAAUACAUGCAAGUAGGACGCAGUUGCGAACGGGUGAGUAACGCGUAGGUAACUGCCUAUUAGAGGGGGAUAACUAUUGGAAACGAUAGCUAAUACCGCAUACUAGUAGAUGGACCUGCGUUGUAUUAGCUAGUAGGUAGGGUAAUGGCCUACCUAGGCGACGAUACAUAGCCGACCGGGGAGGGGGAUCGGCCACACGUGGACUGAGAAACGGCCCAGACUCCUACGGGAGGCAGCAGUAGGGAAUCGUGGGCAAUGGGGGGAACCCUGACCGAGCAACGCCGCGUGAGGGAAGAAGGGUUUCGGAUCGGAAAGCUCUGUUGUUAAGGAAGCGGUACUUAACCAGAAAGGGACGGCUAACUACGUGCCAGCAGCCGCGGUAAUAC
rnacentral:rRNA from 1 species